UCCAUUGCGAAGAUGUAUGGCACAUGAU
rnacentral:piRNA from 1 species